rnacentral:rRNA from 1 species
AUGAACGCUGGCGGCGUGCCUAAUACCUGCAAGUCGAGCGAACAGACGAGAGUGCUUGCACUCUCUGACGUUAGCGGCGGACGGGUGAGUAACACGUGGGUAACCUACCUAUAAGACUGGGAUAACUUCGGGAAACCGGAGCUAAUACCGGAUAAUAUUUAGCUUCGCAUGAAGCAAUAGUGAAAGACGGUUCUGCUGUCACUUAUAGAUGGACCCGCGGUGUAUUAGCUAGUUGGUGAGGUAACGGCUCACCGAGGCAACGAUACAUAGCCGACCUGAGAGGGUGAUCGGCCACACUGGGACUGAGACACGGCCCAGACUCCUACGGGAGGCAGCAGUAGGGAAUCUUCCGCAAUGGACGAAAGUCUGACGGAGCAAUGCCGCGUGAGUGAAGAAGGUUUUCGGAUCGUAAAACUCUGUUGUAAGGGAAGAACAAGUACGUUAGUAACUGAACGUACCUUGACGGUACCUUACCAGAAAGCCACGGCUAACUACGUG